ACGAACGCUGGCGGCGUGCCUAAUACAUGCAAGUCGAACGCUUCUUUUUCCACCGGAGCUUGCUCCACCGGAAAAAGAGGAGUGGCGAACGGGUGAGUAACACGUGGGUAACCUGCCCAUCAGAAGGGGAUAACACUUGGAAACAGGUGCUAAUACCGUAUAACAAUCGAAACCGCAUGGUUUUGAUUUGAAAGGCGCUUUCGGGUGUCGCUGAUGGAUGGACCCGCGGUGCAUUAGCUAGUUGGUGAGGUAACGGCUCACCAAGGCGACGAUGCAUAGCCGACCUGAGAGGGUGAUCGGCCACAUUGGGACUGAGACACGGCCCAAACUCCUACGGGAGGCAGCAGUAGGGAAUCUUCGGCAAUGGACGAAAGUCUGACCGAGCAACGCCGCGUGAGUGAAGAAGGUUUUCGGAUCGUAAAACUCUGUUGUUAGAGAAGAACAAGGAUGAGAGUAACUGUUCAUCCCUUGACGGUAUCUAACCAGAAAGCCACGGCUAACUACGUGCCAGCAGCCGCGGUAAUACGUAGGUGGCAAGCGUUGUCCGGAUUUAUUGGGCGUAAAGCGAGCGCAGGCGGUUUCUUAAGUCUGAUGUGAAAGCCCCCGGCUCAACCGGGGAGAGUCAUUGGAAACUGGGAGACUUGAGUGCAGAAGAGGAGAGUGGAAUUCCAUGUGUAGCGGUGAAAUGCGUAGAUAUAUGGAGGAACACCAGUGGCGAAGGCGGCUCUCUGGUCUGUAACUGACGCUGAGGCUCGAAAGCGUGGGGAGCAAACAGGAUUAGAUACCCUGGUAGUCCACGCCGUAAACGAUGAGUGCUAAGUGUUGGAGGGUUUCCGCCCUUCAGUGCUGCAGCUAACGCAUUAAGCACUCCGCCUGGGGAGUACGACCGCAAGGUUGAAACUCAAAGGAAUUGACGGGGGCCCGCACAAGCGGUGGAGCAUGUGGUUUAAUUCGAAGCAACGCGAAGAACCUUACCAGGUCUUGACAUCCUUUGACCACUCUAGAGAUAGAGCUUCCCCUUCGGGGGCAAAGUGACAGGUGGUGCAUGGUUGUCGUCAGCUCGUGUCGUGAGAUGUUGGGUUAAGUCCCGCAACGAGCGCAACCCUUAUUGUUAGUUGCCAUCAUUUAGUUGGGCACUCUAGCAAGACUGCCGGUGACAAACCGGAGGAAGGUGGGGAUGACGUCAAAUCAUCAUGCCCCUUAUGACCUGGGCUACACACGUGCUACAAUGGGAAGUACAACGAGUCGCAAAGUCGCGAGGCUAAGCUAAUCUCUUAAAGCUUCUCUCAGUUCGGAUUGUAGGCUGCAACUCGCCUACAUGAAGCCGGAAUCGCUAGUAAUCGCGGAUCAGCACGCCGCGGUGAAUACGUUCCCGGGCCUUGUACACACCGCCCGUCACACCACGAGAGUUUGUAACACCCGAAGUCGGUGAGGUAACCUUUUGGAGCCAGCCGCCUAAGGUGGGAUAGAUGAUUGGGGUG
rnacentral:rRNA from 1 species